GGCUUCAAAGGGACAGAGGGCAGGAAUCGAUUGGCAAGAGAUUCUCCCUUUGUGAAGGUUGGAGGCCCUGGCACAGGGUGCCCAGAGCAGCUGUGGCUUCCCCUGGAUCCCUGGCAGUGUCCAAGGCCAGGCUGGACGGGGUUUGGAGCAGUCAGAAAAGAAAAAAACCCCCACAUUUUACAUAGUUGGUACAAAAACAAAAAUAAAAUGAACAGAGAGGGGAAAACCUGCAGCAGCAGGAGUUGAGGAUCUCGCUGCAGGGACUCCAGCAGGAAAUGUCUUUGGGAAGUCAGGAAAUGUGCCCAUGGCCAGACGCCCUCCCUGGGAAGACUCCAGCCACCCCCUGGGCUGCAAGAGGAGUGUUCACACCCCAAAACCUGGGAUCCAGAGUUUCUCCCAGCCAUGGCUCUUCCCUUUGGGCCUCCUCUCGCUGCCGAUGCAGAAGACGCCCCCGGGGCCGGUCACCCGGAUGGACUCCAAACCUUUGGAUGAUUUCUUGAAGGUGAACUCGACAGCUUCUCCCUCCUUCAGGCUGCGGAAACCCUCCAUGUGGAGCUUGCUCUGGGGGGCACAGGGAGAGGAUGGGGGUCAGCACGGAGCAGGGCUGUUCUCCAGACACAGCACAAAGCCCUCCUGUGGCACAAGAGCUGCAAAUGUC